ACUCACUAACUCCAGCAACAGACAUAAGAGUAGUCAGCCAUGAGUUGGGUAUUGGUGAUUCUCACAACUAACUCUGGCUCCAGGAGAAAGAGCAGGAAUCAGUCUCAAUUGAAGCUGGAGUUCAAGAAGAUUUCAGACACAUUCUGAGUCCCGAUAAAGGCUGAAAGGGAAAUAUUUGAAUGCGGGGGAAGGUAGGGAUGAAGAGUGGAAAUGGAGCCAAAUAUACUGUUUCUGUCUUUGUUUUAACUGUUUAAUUCUUAAUUGUCUUCUUCUGGUUUGAGGAAGCGCUGUUAUAUACAUAAAUACAAGAUUAAUCUUAGCUGGUCUACUGCAAUCCUAUGUUUAUUUCCAGGGAUGCUUGGAGCCAUUGUUGUCUGGAGGGAGGACUGACUUAUUUCCAGAGAUUCCUGGAGACACUGCUGGAACCUUAGCCAAAUCAGAAUAAGCUCAACUAACUGGUGACAAAUAUUCCUGUGCUAGGACCUGAGACAGGCCAAGUGAGAGAUCUGUAGUAGUUUAUUAGCUUUGUUCAUUAAAAAAACAACAAAAAAUUCCAGAUUGGUGUUUUUUACCUAGUUUCUACUAUGUUCUCUUUGUUUCUUCUGUUCGCUUUUGUCAUGCAGCCCAGUUUUGGUUAUGAGACCAGACAGAUAUGAAAGACCACUCCUUGGACAAGACUGUGAUUCUCCAGAGCUCAAGUUUUCUUGUAUAUAUCUUAGUAGUUCAUGAUUCAGAUUAAAAUCGCAUCCUAAUCAAUUGAGAAAUGAUCCUGGAAGCUGGGUCUGAAGGUCUUGGACUUUUCUGAGGUUUUCUGUGCUUUCCCCCCACCUACUUUAGAGUAUCCUUUACUUUAUUAAGACUGUACUCUGUGGAGUCUCAUGAGUCGUUUCAGUUGUUCAGCCCUGUGUAUUGAUGCAUCAUGUUAGUUUUGUGUUCACUCUGGAAUGUGAUACAGUAAAAGGUCUAUAUAUUUUUUUCAACUCAUCUAAAUUGUCUUAGGUCUAGCUGGACUUGAUCAAAUGGCAAUUGAGAAAGUCAGGCUUUAAGUAAGCCAGAUAUCUGGCUUUUGAUUCUCCUCUUUCUCACUGUCUUCUCCUCAUUCCCCUUAGAUAUAGAAUACCCUCAUAAUUUUUCUAAUAUCCUCCCAUCAAUGCCUUCUGUGGAUUGCUCUAAGAGACUUCCCUAAUUCUUUUCUACCCCAUUUUCAUUAAAUAAAAUUAGUUUCCAGCCCUCUGCAGCUACAAGACUGUGUUUUUACAAAACUGCUAUGACGCAUCACAUCCUAUUAAAUCAUUCUCUCACCUGAUAGACUGUGAAAUCUGUGAAAACAGAAGUCCCGUCUUACUCAUUUCUAAUUCUUAGCCCUGUCUUAUAAGAGCAGGAACUCUUUAAAUGCAUUAUCAAAGAAGUCAAUGAAUUAACAACUAGCUCUUUAUAGAUAAAGAAGUUCUUUUACUUUGAAGAGUUAUUCAAGUGUUGACCGACUGGCAACAUUAUCUCACAGGUGUAGUUGUAUUCCAAAUGUAACAAUGGAUAAAACCUUAAGCUAAAGUAAUGCUAUUUUAAUCGUGGCAUGUCACAUGUUGACAGACUCUAGGUAACUCAAGUGUUUGCAUAUGUUUUUAGUGGGGGCACCAGGGACUUUCAGAGAAACUUCAAAUGGAGACACAUAGAUUCUUUUGACCAUAAAUCCACUUUGGAACCCGGAAAUGUCAGUGAAUAUUCAUCUAGUUUAAGUUGGGGUCAAUUCUACCCUAAGUGAAAUCUCAUUAUUAUUUUUAUUGAGGUUAUUUUUAGCAUGGCACAGGUGGCCACCAUGGCAUGAUAGUCAGUCUAAAGCUCUGCCACCAAAUAGCUGCAUGACCAUGAGUCAGGUUGCUUGUGUGAAAUUUUCAUUUCCUUAUUUGCAAAAUAAAAGGUUGAAUUCCAUAAUCUCUGGUGUCUCUGUCAGUUGAAUAUUUCAUGUGACCAUGAAUACAUCAUUCAACCAGAUACACUUAACUAGAAAGAAGUGCUUUGUGUGAAAUCAGUGAGAUCAGUCACCUUUCACUGUCUUGGCAAAUGGAAGGAAGGAAUUGUACAUGAAAGAUUAACAAGUCACAUUUGAACUGGGAAAAAAAAAGAGUGACAUUUUCAGUUGUCAUUGUAUUUGGCCUAAAACAAUAUUACAGCAUAUUUGGUUCCUCCUGGAAUAUACUUACCCCAUUGACUUGGUAUUCUUUCUGAUAUCAUCCAAUUGUCUGAUUGCCCAUAAGGCUGAGAAAGAGACUACAUGGCAAAUUAGUAGCCAUCAUAAAGUCUAUGAAGUAGGCGAGUGACCUUUAUUUCCAUCCUGGCAGAGGACAAAAAUAAGAGCGUAUUUGUAAGAAAACUGAAUACGCCCAAAGCAGAUAAGUUGAUGUAUGAAAGGUACCUGGAAAUUAAUACUUCUUGAAAACGGUUACCACCAUGGAGGGAGCUGCAUCUUCCAUUCUUACUAAUAGAAAAUGAUCGUUUGCUUUGAAGCAGUUAACGGAGAUACAUAAAAAAAGACAGGAUCUCACUCUGUUACACAAGCUGGAGUGCAGUG